ACCCUCCUAGUGAAAAACUGUUUCCUAAUAUCCAACCUAGACUUCUCCAACUGCAACUUGAUACCAUUGCAUCUCAUUCUGCCAUCUGCCACCACUGAGAACAGCCUAGCUUCAUCUUCCUUGGAACCCCCCUUCAGGUAGUU